CUUGGUCAUUUAGAGGAAGUAAAAGUCGUAACAAGGUUUCCGUAGGUGAACCUGCGGAAGGAUCAUUAUCGAGUUCGGGGACUUAUUGUCCACGCCCUCCAACCCUUUGUCUACCUGACCAGAUGUUGCUUCGGCAGGCCCGUCGCCCCGCGAGGGGUGGCCGCCGGGGGUCCUUACCGGCCCCGGGUCCGCGCCUGUCGAUGGCCCUCUUAUAAACUCUUGCUUCAACCGUGUCGUCUGAGUAAAACAAACAAAUAAAAACAAAACUUUCAACAACGGAUCUCUUGGUUCUGGCAUCGAUGAAGAACGCAGCGAAAUGCGAUAAGUAAUGCGAAUUGCAGAAUCCGUGAGUCAUCGAAUCUUUGAACGCAUAUUGCGCCCUCUGGUAUUCCGGGGGGCAUGCCUGUUCGAGCGUCAUUAUCACCCCUCAAGCCCGGCUUGUUGUUGGAUGUGGCGGCGGCCUUUAAUGGCGUACCGCCCGUCUCAAAGAUAAUGACGGCGUCUGUGAGGACUCCUGUACACUGAGCUUUCGGGCACGUACUAGGCUGAUACUCGCAGACCCGGUCUUUAGGGCUCGCCUCGGCGGCCCAACUUUUCUAAGGUUGACCUCGGAUCAGGUAGGAAUACCCGCUGAACUUAAGCAUAUCAAUAAGCGGAGGAAAAGAAACCAACAGGGAUUGCCUCAGUAACGGCGAGUGAAGCGGCAACAGCUCAAAUUUGAAAUCUGGCCUCUUUGGGGUCCGAGUUGUAAUUUGGAGAGGAUGUUUCGGGUACGGUCCGGGCUUAAAUUUCUUGGAACAGAAUGUCACAGAGGGUGAGAAUCCCGUCUGGAGUCCGGACACGGCCUAUGUGAAACUCCUUCGACGAGUCGAGUUGUUUGGGAAU
rnacentral:sRNA from 1 species